rnacentral:rRNA from 1 species
CUGGCUCAGGAUGAACGCUGGCGGUAUGCUUAACACAUGCAAGUCGAACGGAAUCUUAGGAUUUAGUGGCGGACGGGUGAGUAACGCGUGAGAAUUUGGCUUCAGGUCGGGGAUAACAGUUGGAAACGACUGAUAAUACCGGAUGUGCCGGGAGGUGAAAGAUUUAUCGCCUGAAGAUAAGCUCGCGUCUGAUUAGCUAGUUGGUGGUGUAAGGGACUACCUAGGCGACGAUCAGUAGCUGGUCUGAGAGGAUGAUCAGCCACACUGGGACUGAGACACGGCCCAGACUCCUACGGGAGGCAGCAGUGGGGAAUUUUCCGCAAUGGGCGAAAGCCUGACGGAGCAAUACCGCGUGAGGGAGGAAGGCUCUUGGGUCGUAAACCUCUUUUCUCAAGGAAGAAGAAAGUGACGGUACUUGAGGAAUAAGCAUCGGCUAACUCCGUGCCAGCAGCCGCGGUAAUACGGAGGAUGCAAGCGUUAUCCGGAAUGAUUGGGCGUAAAGGGUCCGUAGGUGGAACUGAAAGUCUGCUGUUAAAGAGUCUGGCUCAACCAGAUAAAAGCGGUGGAAACUACAGAACUAGAGUAUGGUAGGGGUAGAAGGAAUUCCUGGUGUAGCGGUGAAAUGCGUAGAUAUCAGGAAGAACACCGGUGGCGAAAGCGUUCUACUAGACCAAAACUGACACUGAGGGACGAAAGCUAGGGGAGCGAAUGGGAUUAGAUACCCCAGUAGUCCUAGCCGUAAACGAUGGAUACUAGGCGUGGCUUGUAUCGACCCGAGCCGUGCCGGAGCUAACGCGUUAAGUAUCCCGCCUGGGGAGUACGCACGCAAGUGUGAAACU